UCGGGAAUUUUGGGCAAUGGGCGAAAGCCUGACCCAGCAACGCCGCGUGAAGGAUGAAGUAUUUCGGUAUGUAAACUUCGAAAGAAUAGGAAGAAUAAAUGACGGUACUAUUUAUAAGGUCCGGCUAACUACGUGCCAGCAGCCGCGGUAAUACGUAGGGACCAAGCGUUGUUCGGAUUCACUGGGCGUAAAGGGUGCGUAGGUGGUUGGGUAAGUCUGAUGUGAAAUCUCCGGGCCUAACCCGGAAACUGCAUCGGAUACUAUUCGACUGGAGGGUCGGAGGGGGGACUGGAAUACUUGGUGUAGCAGUGAAAUGCGUAGAUAUCAAGUGGAACACCAGUGGCGAAGGCGAGUCCCUGGACAACUCCUGACACUGAGGCACGAAAGCUAGGGGAGCAAACAGGAUUAGAUACCCCCGUAGUCCCUGAGCGGGCUGGCAAGGCGCAU
rnacentral:rRNA from 1 species